UACGUAGGGUGCGAGCGUUGUCCGGAAUUAUUGGGCGUAAAGGGCUCGUAGGCGGUUUGUCGCGUCCGUUGUGAAAACUCGAGGCUCAACCUCGGGCUUGCAGUGGAUACGGGCAGACUAGAGUGCGGUAGGGGAGACUGGAAUUCCUGGUGUAGCGGUGGAAUGCGCAGAUAUCAGGAGGAACACCGAUGGCGAAGGCAGGUCUCUGGGCCGCAACUGACGCUGAGGAGCGAAAGCAUGGGGAGCGAACAGG
rnacentral:rRNA from 1 species